GGCGGCGUGCUUAACACAUGCAAGUCGAGCGGAAAGGCCCUUCGGGGUACUCGAGCGGCGAACGGGUGAGUAACACGUGAGCAACCUGCCCUAGGCUUUGGGAUAACCCCGGGAAACGGGGGCUAAUACCGAAUAUGACUUCUGGUCGCAUGACCGGUGGUGGAAAGUUUUUCGGCCUGGGAUGGGCUCGCGGCCUAUCAGCUUGUUGGUGGGGUGAUGGCCUACCAAGGCGACGACGGGUAGCCGGCCUGAGAGGGCGACCGGCCACACUGGGACUGAGACACGGCCCAGACUCCUACGGGAGGCAGCAGUGGGGAAUAUUGCACAAUGGGCGGAAGCCUGAUGCAGCGACGCCGCGUGAGGGAUGACGGCCUUCGGGUUGUAAACCUCUUUCAGCAGGGACGAAGCGUAAGUGACGGUACCUGCAGAAGGAGCGCCGGCCAACUACGUGCCAGCAGCCGCGGUAAGACGUAGGGCGCGAGCGUUGUCCGGAUUUAUUGGGCGUAAAGAGCUCGUAGGCGGCUUGUCGCGUCGACUGUGAAAACCCGCAGCUCAACUGCGGGCCUGCAGUCGAUACGGGCAGGCUAGAGUUCGGUAGGGGAGACUGGAAUUCCUGGUGUAGCGGUGAAAUGCGCAGAUAUCAGGAGGAACACCGGUGGCGAAGGCGGGUCUCUGGGCCGAUACUGACGCUGAGGAGCGAAAGCGUGGGGAGCGAACAGGAUUAGAUACCCUGGUAGUCCACGCUGUAAACGUUGGGCGCUAGGUGUGGGGGGCCUCUCCGGUUCCCUGUGCCGCAGCUAACGCAUUAAGCGCCCCGCCUGGGGAGUACGGCCGC
rnacentral:rRNA from 1 species